rnacentral:rRNA from 1 species
GUCCACGGCCAUACUGCCCUGAACAUGCCCGAUCUCGUCUGAUCUUGGAAGCUGAGCAGGGUCGGGCCUGGUUAGUCCUGGGAUGCAGGAAC